CUGCUGAUUUCUGGUCUUUAAAUGGUAGCAUUACACAUCAAAGAGAACGUGGUACGUGUAAUGCUACCAUUUAAAGACCAGAAAUCAGCAGACU